AAAAAAACAUGGGGAAGAGACAAAAGACAUGACCAAAUUCAAGAUAUACAGCUACAAAUGAAGAGAACAACCUUGCUCAGAUAAUUUGACAAUGCACAACGGUUUACUACUGGUCAUAUGUUUACAGGAGUAUGGUUUCAAAUAAUAUAAGGUAUGUGCCGGUCAAACUUAAUUAAAUAGUUUCUA